UGAACGCUGGCGGCAUGCCUUACACAUGCAAGUCGAACGGCAGCGCGGACUUCGGUCUGGCGGCGAGUGGCGAACGGGUGAGUAAUACAUCGGAACGUACCCUGUUGUGGGGGAUAACUAGUCGAAAGAUUAGCUAAUACCGCAUACGACCUGAGGGUGAAAGUGGGGGACCGCAAGGCCUCACGCAGCAGGAGCGGCCGAUGUCUGAUUAGCUAGUUGGUGGGGUAAAGGCCCACCAAGGCGACGAUCAGUAGCUGGUCUGAGAGGACGAUCAGCCACACUGGGACUGAGACACGGCCCAGACUCCUACGGGAGGCAGCAGUGGGGAAUUUUGGACAAUGGGGGCAACCCUGAUCCAGCAAUGCCGCGUGUGUGAAGAAGGCCUCGGUUGUAAGCACUUUGUCGGUAACGAAUACGCGCUGGUUAAGUACCUGGCGUGGAGUGACGGUACCGGAACGAAUAAAGCACCGGCGUAACUACGCGCCACGCA
rnacentral:rRNA from 1 species